UACGAAGGGUGCAAACGUUGCUCGGAAUUAUUGGGCGUAAAGCGCACGUAGGCGGCUUAGCAAGUCGGAUGUGAAAUCCCUCGGCUCAACCAAGGAAGUGCAUCCGAAACUGCUGAGCUUGAGUACUUAAGAGGAUCGCGGAAUUCCUGGUGUAGAGGUGAAAUUCGUAGAUAUCAGGAGGAACAUCGGCGGCGAAGGCGGCUUCCUGGCUCAUUACUGACGUUCAGGUACGAAAGCGUGGGUAGCAAACAGG
rnacentral:rRNA from 1 species